UAUAGAUAAAGGCAACAGUAGUAUACCGAUGUUCAAACUCAUAAAUCCAUGGACAAAAAACAAAAUCGGGGUAACAAACUAAAACUGAGGGAAACGCAUUAAAUAUAAGAGGAGAACAACGACACAACACUACAAUGUAACACACACAGAAACGGACCAAGCAACAGACAAAAUCCCACGAGAAUAUGAAAUAUAACAUCAAAACCAAAUACAUGAAUUUGGGAUAGACAAGUACCGUGACACGUCUUAUCGCAAUGUGAAUUUACACUCAAAAAUAAGAGAAAACAAACGACGCAACGUUAAAAUGUAACACAUACAGAAACGAACUAUAAUAUAACAAUGGCCAUAUUCCUGACUUGGUACAGGACAUUUUUAAAGAAAAAAUGGCGGGUUGAACCUGGUUUUGUGGCAUGCCAAACCUCCCCUUUUAUAGCCAUGUGAAAUAUAACAUUAAGAUGACAACUCAACACUACAGGACUACAAUAUAAAUAUAUUGGAGAAUACAAUUGACAAAGAAACACACGAACAACAGCCAAC
rnacentral:lncRNA from 1 species